UACGGGGGGGCAAGCGUUGUUCGGAAUUACUGGGCGUAAAGGGCUCGUAGGCGGUUUGUUGCGUCGGAGUGAAACUUACAGCUUAACUGUGAGCGUGCUUCCGAUACGGGCAGACUUGAGGUAUCAGGGAGAACGGAAUUCCUGGUGUGAGCGGUGGAAUGACGCAGAUAUCAGGAGGAACACCAAUGGCGAAGGCAGCUCGCUGGAACGGUACUGACGCCUGAGGCGCGGAAAGCGUGGGGGGAGCGAAACAGGAUUAGACUACCGUGUAAGCUCCAGACCCAGUCCUCUCGCCUACCGUAACGCUCACCGACCCC
rnacentral:rRNA from 1 species